UUCGUGGCCAAGCGAGGCUGGAAUUCUUGGAGUCAACUUUCGGAAAGAAAUUCACGUUGAGAAGGGGUUAACAUGGUUUCAUUGAAAUGGUUUUGUAGCCCAGUUGGGCGUAUUCCAGGACGGAGUGUCCAUUGAAAGGGCUACUUUAGUACAUUUUUAGGCAUCAUGGACAUUGGUGGCCUAAUCAUGCAUUACUUCAAACUUGGCCACACCCAUCUUGAAGUUGCUGCAACUUUAGCAACAGUCCAUGGCAUUGCACUGAGUGAGCGCACCCACAGUGACACCUGCGGCAUCUUGGAUUGUAUUGUCGGAAGAAUCAAUCUGACUUAGCGGACAUUGUAAGGUUCCUUCAAGAACAGCUUCAGCAAUCUGGUCAGCUGCACGGCCACAGGUUUAUGCAUUACAGAUUACUUCAGGAGGGUUUCGUUGUAGGCAGACAUAGAGUACGGAGAUUGUUACUCCAUCUUGAUCCAGAGGGUGUUGCACUACAAAAAGGUGUCGGCUUGCGCAUUACAGAUACGGGCGAGGAAUUUUAUUUGGCACAUAGACUCAUAUGACAAACUCAAGCUAUGCGAAGUGGGCAUCAGUGAGUGUAUUGAUAGUUUCUCCCGAAAAAUAAUAUGGUUGGAAGUAAACGCCACUACAAAUGACCCUCAAUUUAUUGGUAGCUUUUUCAUCAAUGCCAUCGAAACAUACCGUGACCACCCAACUUUUGUUAGGACUGAUCUUGGGACGGAGAAUGGACAUGGACCUAAAGUUCCAUGGGGAUCGGCUUAGCGGUAGCAUAGCUUCAUUACUUGGAAGAGUACUGCUAACAAGUGCAUCGAGUGCUGGUGAAAUCAGCUGAGGAAAGAAUGCACAGAGUUCCGGUUGACUUUAUUUCCAUACAUAAAGGAUGACGGUUACUUCUCGGGAGACAGUUUGGACAAAGAGCUGAUUCGAUUCAUAUUCAUGAGAAUGAUACAGGAUGAUCUGGACAAAAUGGCGGAACUGUGGGAUGGACACAGGAUUAGGAACAAUAAACAAGAACAUGUAGCAGAUGGCUGACCCCUGACCAUAUUUGAACUUCCACAGUUGUACAACACCAUGGACUUCCUGAAACAGUGGAUCAAGAUAGAGUGAAUGUGUGCAGGGAGGAAUCCCUCUUCAAAAACAUCUAUCCUUGCGAUGAGGACCUCUUCAACUAUGCAUGUUUACUGAUGGAAGCCACUGGACGCAGGGCCCCUGAUACUCCAGAAGAGGCUGUCCAUCUGUACAUUGAUCUAAGACGACACCUACAAAGAGCUUUAGCAUGAUCCUGUGAAUUAAUACAGGCUCAUGUUCUGUCUAAACAUAAAGGACUAAAAGGCACACUUCCAUUAGAGCAUGACUCUGGCAUGACAAAUCUAUGGUAGUAUAGCAUUCUUAUGCUCCCACAAACUGUUCCCCUAGUGAACGCAUGCAGAUUAUAGUGUACACACUACUACACAUACCACUUACCCCACAGCGAGCGUGCAAUGACCAUCUACAUGUAGAUUACAUGCACUGUCCACAGCGCAUUGCAUUCCAUGCGCGACCCUGUUGCUCUUUGCUGCAACAUGCCGUUGAACCGCAACUCCAAAGCACACUUCCAACUUAGUCAUUUUCCCCAAAAUCUUCCUCGGAGUCAAUCCUACUUUCAGUCACACAUAUAACCCGUACAUUCGACCCACACAGACCCCAACUCAUACCAUAUGUGUCCCGCCAGGCCACACGCAAUAAAUAUUUCUAGUAGUACUUGAAAAAGUUAAAGGACCUAUCCUGUCAAAGUGCUAGCCUCUACCACUCAGUCAAGACCUGAUAGUUUUACUAUGAGCUCAAAGUAUCGACAUCACUUCAAGCCAUCUUUGUUCCGAUGGUUCUCAUAUUGUUCUUACCAGAGAUUUAUGAAACGCAAUAUUGAAUAUUGGGGUACGCCAAUUUUACUUAUACAGUGGAUGUUUUCCAUUUGUCUUCAAUUAUAUACAAAAUGCAGAAUGAAACGUUUUGCACAUAAAAAUGAUAAUAGGCUAGAGUCAUUUACCACAUGGAAAUCUACAAAUGAUCAAAACAAACUUUGGUUAUAUAGAAACUUUAAACUUAAGUUACAAAAAAAAAUUGGACUGCUGAUAGAGCAUUGGGGGUUGGGACUCAUGUUUGGGGUUGCUUGGGGUUCUUUGGAUUUUGUUAACCCUCACCUCCCAUAAAAAUGAUCGGGCCUGACCCCCUCUAAAAUUCCUAGAUCCACCCUGGAUUGACUUCAGAUUUAUGUAUGUACACACAUAGACAAACAUCCCCCAAUGGUCCCAAUGAUUCUUGUCACUAUAGUGUCAUCAGGUACAUCACAUUAAAGGUGCAUUUUUCAAAGCCUGUAUGUUCUGAAGUUCAAGUCCGAGUAGGUUGAAUCGUUAGUUGGUUCAGAUAAAGAAACAUAUGGAUGUAAACUUUAAGUGACAUCAGGAUCACAUGCCAUGUGACCUCACAUUAGAGGGGCAUUUUGAUUGGAUCUAUAUCUAUGGAAUGAAAGGUCUGAUCCAGUUUAACUUACAUAUUUAGUGACAUCUAAAUAAAAGAUGCUAUUAUUUUCAUAUGUGAACAAACUCAUUGAAAGGAUUGGUUUGAUCAUAAAUGCAUUUUUGACCAGCGAGAUGUUUUAAUACAUGUAGAAUAAGUCCUUUUUCAAGAAGAAAACUGUGGCUCUUCAAUUGAAAUAUUUCUUUGGCGUCCCCGACUUUUGAGUGUUGGUGUUGUGUGUAAUUUAUGAAACACACAAUGUUAUCAUACAUGUAGUGAAAAUGAAAAGAAAAUUUCUAUGCGUACUUCGUCACGUCUGAAGUAGGCCUAAAAAUAUGCAUUUCAUCUUUUCUUGGUAUGACAUUAAUUUCUUUUCAACAACUAAACUUUAAAAUACAUGUAGUUCAAGUUAACAGUUCAAAACGUCAUUUUCUGGAAUUUCCAGCCAAACAAACACAUGCACAUGUUUAUCAUGAACAGCUCCCUCUAGUGGAAUAUGGUGUCUUUGCUCCCCACAUUUUUCCAAUUGCUGGGUCAAACAUUCUUUUUAUUUCGGAAAUUGAACCCUAACUUGUACUUGCUGUUGGCAUGCACAGAUUUCCUGCUGGGUCGACAGUACACCGUACUGUGUGCCAAUAAAACGUAUGGUUUUUGCCUGUAAGUAGAUACCUGUUCUUGCAUAGGCCUUCAAUAGUAUCGUAAUGCUGCAUAAUGAAAGUCCAGUCUAAGCAAAUUUAGCUGUAAAUGAACAAUUUAUACAAGGGUAAAUCAGACUCCACACCAUUGCACAAA
rnacentral:lncRNA from 1 species